rnacentral:rRNA from 1 species
AUUCCAGCUCCAAUAGCGUAUAUUAAAGUUGUUGCAGUUAAAAAGCUCGUAGUUGGAUUUCUGACAGGGGGCCGAACACCACUGUAGUGAGUGUUUUGGUACCUGUCAUCCUUCUGUUAACCCUAGCGUCAUUCAUUUGUCGUUGGGCGGACCAGAUACUUUACCUUGAGAAAAUUAGAGUGUUUCAGGCAGGCCUAGCCGGAAUACAUUAGCAUGGAAUAAUGGAAUAGGACUAUAGUCUCGUCGUUGGUUACGUGGACUGCAGUAAUGAUUAAUAGGGAUAGUUGGGGGCAUUAGUAUUUAUUAGCUAGAGGUGGAAUUCUCUAAUUUGAUAAAGACUAACUUAUGCGAAAGCAUUUGCCAAGGAUGUUUUCAUCA